UACGUAGGGUGCGAGCGUUAAUCGGAAUUACUGGGCGUAAAGCGUGCGCAGGCGGUGAGCUGUGUCCGAUGUGAAAGCCCCCGGGCUUAACCUGGGGAAUGGCAUUGGAAACUGGCUCGCUGGAGUGUGGCAGAGGGGGGUGGAAUUCCGCGUGUAGCAGUGAAAUGCGUAGAGAUGCGGAGGAACACCGAUGGCGAAGGCAGCCCCCUGGGCUAACACUGACGCUCAGGCACGAAAGCGUGGGGAGCAAACAGG
rnacentral:rRNA from 1 species